CGGUGCGCUGAAAAAGAAAAAAAAUUACCUUUUAUUUUUGAUGUCAUAGAACACGUUAAAUUUGUUAAAAAUUUAAAUUGAAUAUUUCCACGUUUGUCGGUGAUAUCAGGUUGUCGAAUACAUCAGAGUAGAAUGGCCCCGAGCACAAAGGGUUGAAACGGUACUCUCAGGGUGAUAUCUAGUCCCUUUAGUUCUCACGUAUCCUUGGCGAAUCUCCUGGUGAAACGGGAGUACGUGAGUAGACUUGCUUUUCAGCUAACUGGUACUACACCCUAUAGACGGUGGUCACGUUCCCGGUGUGUGUACCCUUAUGAAUGAAAUCAGCAUCGAGUAGAGCGUCUCGUGACGCUUAAUUGGAACUUAAUUGCUCCGACGUUGGUGAUUUACCGUCUUAGCGAAACAACGCUGUUGACGGCACAAUGGGGCUGAGUCGUUAGCCUCUUCAAGACAAAGUCGUGCCACCUACAAAUUACGACGUUCAGGUGGAGGGAAGCAUUAGCUUCCUCCAUGUGUAUGUAUAAUAGAUUUUUUGCUGCUCGAAUUCGUUGCUGAGGGAGCAGGAAUUUCGGGCGUUAAUUAUGCGUGCGUGCAUUCCAUCGUAUACGAUCGCACGUGUCUAGCAUCCGAGACGGAGAGAGAAUUUGCAGCGUCGCGUCGUCUUGCCUUGGUCGAAUCCUGUCCUCUUUUCUUCUGGAAGGAAGAUCGGAAAUGACGACGAAACUACCUAGGAAUUUAUUCUUCGUUUAUAUCAGCUGAUUCAUUGAUGGUUAAAGGUGUGAUCCGGACUGAUUCUUGAUAUUUGUAGGAAGAAUUUCCAAGUGAAAAAAUCAUUGCGAAUAUUCAGUGAAAAAUUCAUGCUCGACUCGAUCUGGUUCGUGACACGAAUGCAUCGACGAAAUACGUUUAAAAAUUGACUUUCCCUUGGAACGGCUUAUGGAACGCGUGUCCAACGAGCAAGUCGAAUUGUCCUGUUCGAUUCUCUGCAUUGUCGCAAGGUCGAACUGGAUUUCGAGCGAGGGUGAGCGAGCGAGCGAGUAGUAGCAAGUUCUCCCUAUAGGUCGAUAGCGAAAACGAGCUGGCACGGUGACGAUAUUUUGCACGUGCAAGGAAGGAGAUAUCGAUGGUCGGUUUCAGAUCAGACAAAAGUUUCACGGUAGAUGGGUGUGCACAUGUAUUUACGAAGGUUCCGCUUAAUAGUACAGUCGUUUGCGAAAUUAUUCGUACCUUUGUAUCUCCAAUGUGUGCGUUUCAUUUGCUAACAGCUUGAUGCCAUAGUUUCGCGAACGACUGUAUAUGCAGCAUGAUAUUAGUGGAAUAAUGUGUGUAGGUUUUUCGUGGACGAUCGUGAAAAUAAUUUCGGGCGCCAGCCGUCCACAGUUCCGACGGAUGCGAGGGAUUCGUACGACUGAUGAAGUUUUAUUCGGAAGUGGAGGUUUAACCGUAUUAAAAUGGCAGGUCAGUCGGGUCCUCUGACGACUCGGUCGGUGCCUGUUUAAAGGUCGCAGGCCGGAACCGGCGUCGAAUAAUAUAAUAUAUUAGCGGUCGUUGGUGGCUUUGAAGUGACGAAAGGUCCUCUGGCUUGGGACCGAUCCUCAAUUUGUGUGGAACGAUUCUGGAUCGUCCGUGAUUGGGAUAUGAGUAAUUACGUCGUUGAUUUAUUUUCUGCUCGGCACGUCUCACUUUGCGCGGAUGUACCGUCUCGUCUGCUUAUAAUACGCGAUAAUAGCAAAGGAUAGAAGGAUUUUACUGGUUUUUCACCAUAUUGUCGUUUACUCCCGUUGUGUAACACCACUAUGCCCGAGCGUUCUUCAGGGCAUCGCGUUCAACUCGCGAUAAAGCAACGCGAUAAAGUAGUCCGUACAAAUAGUAUCGUGUUCGGUUUACCGUGACACGAGUAAAUAUUUGUGCCUGGAAUGGUCGAUGGAGAGGUUGCAGAAAAUGCUCGGUGAAUUUCUAACAGCUCGUUACCACCGUGUAUACACGAUCUAUCUGCCAGAGUCCUGUGUUGUGUAUAUUCCGACGGUGUGUGUGCACUAGUUCGGAAGCCACCUGUAACGAUACGGAUCGUGUUCCAUGCUCUAACAAUCCCUCUCCUCUUAUCAUUAUUCGAGAAUUUUUCAUCGUCGCAAAUAUAUGAAAAUAUAACAUCGAGAAUUUUUCAUCGAUAUAUGUAAGUUGAAGAUGCACGUCGUCGCGUCGGUUCGUCUACCAACGGUUGACGGUGACAAAUCGACGCGUGUCAGACAAACUUGCUGUAAAAGCUUUCUAAAUGUAAUAACUCGAAGAAUACACAGGCUGUCGUAGGUACGCGUUUUAUAUAGCCUGCUGGCAUCGAAUCAGAGAGUCCGAAUGCACGGCCUUGUGCUCAAUUGCAUUUUCGUCGAAUUACGAUUCGCGCGAUAUUCCAGCAUUCUGGGUCGUUUACCUUCUGUUGCCGGCAUCGAAAUGCGUGGGCGGUUCAUUCAUUGGCCAAGAAAGCAUGGACGUGUCUGAAGUAUGUACUUGUGCCAUUUGGCAGAGUGUCAUAGAUACACGUCGUACAUCUUCAUUAAUUGGCGCCUCGAAUAGCACGCGUAUACGCAACUGGGGGCCAACUCCUCCUCGUCUGCACUCGACACGCGUUUUAAUUGCUUCGUUUCCGAUAUACCUCGAGACUUGGUCGAAAGAUCGAACCUCGUUGAUAAACCGAUCGCUUCUUCGAUCAACAUUUUUAUGCAGUUACCUUCUAAAAUUCUAUAGACUAAUUGGAGUGGUAACGCGAUCAAGGGAAGUUAGUUCUGUUAAGAGUUAAAUAUUUUCCUAUGGAAAAAAAAUACAGUUUGUCAAAGUGUUUAUUGCAACGGAAUAGCGAUCGAUAUAUCGUUUUCAAGUGGUUAGGUUGCACGAUGUAUCGAAUUUUCAAGUACCUACAUACGUCAGUACGCGACAUUCUUCGAGUACGUUCACACAAACGUUGUCGUAGUCAGCGACUAAGGUGGAGCUUCCGUUUCCGGUAAUGAACGUGCCGUAUACGAGAAUCGACACCAUCCAUUAUAUCCUUUAUUCGUGUAUACUCGCUUCUCAAACUUGACGUUCUUCGAUACAAACGUUCCAACUUGUACGAAUGAUAGAAUUUGCUAGAAUUUCCUAGAAUUUCCUAGUACCUACCAUUUGAAAACCCGUCUUAAAACGGCGGUGCAGGGAUAAUCGGUUGAGUGCACGCGCAAUCUGGUGCACCUACACGUACGUAGAUCGUCGCGUAUCAUGGAAAUCGCUUCUCCACCGUUCGCCAUAUGCUCGUUGCUGCUGGUACCGUUGUCGAGACUGCUUAUAGAGCCGGUUUUCGUUUCCUGCCGGACACGAAAGAAUGGCUAGCCUUGCUGAUAGACCAACUCUCUCUCUACCCGCUUCUUUUUGCAUACUCUCGAUGCUGCCUGUCUAUUUUUUCCCCUCUCUUUUCACGCAUUCUUCGUGCUUAACGCGCGCGCAUUCUUACGCAUCCGGCGAUCUACGCGUGUUUGACAGAAACUCUUUAACUUAACCCUUUAGCUAGUAUACGUAAUCGCUGGAUAGCAAUUUUUUACGUUAUUUUAUUUAUGUAAUCAAUCGCUUUUGAAUUGUACACCCUGUAACUCUACCAACAGCAGGAUAAUAAUGGUUUUUUCCUCGAAUUAAUGGAUAUCGAUUAUAUAGGAGCGUACACGGUUCUCCGGAUGCAGUCUCCUCCUAUUAGAACGCGAUCUGACGCGAAUCGGAAUAUUAUAAAUUGAAAUCUAUCUAUGUUUUCUUCUUUUCUUCUUUUCUUUUUUUCCAUCAGUCGAGGAGCAAGUUCGAGCACCGAUAUAGGCGAAUAAAAGAGUAGAAACAGCUGUGGCGACUCGAGGAUAGAUCGAGACGAAGAGAGACCUCAUUGGGAAAACGCGUUAACCUAAUUAGAGACGCGGACAAUGACGAAUCGUGUUGUUUUCAAAGCGAUAUCUUUUAUCAACGAAUAAUACCCAUUAUGCCGAUGGAACGGUAACAGGAUUUCUUUGUCCCUCGAUCGAUGCAUCCCCAAGACGGUUCAACUGUUCUCGAAAGGCGAGACUGAUAAAAUUGAGAAAAGAGCGAGAGUAUCGCUUAUCACCUUUCCCUUUCUUUCUUCGCCGAUCACCGGUUGCCAAUGAUACUCGCGGUAUUCAACGCGUCGAUUGAAUUGCUCGGAAACUAAUCUGACGAAAAUAUAGUAAAAGUGUGGUCGAAUCGUGGAACAGGUGCGGAAAGCAUAAUCGGGUUUGCCUUCGCGGAAAAUCUUUAUCCGGGUAUUGUUUCGCGCGCACAAAAGCGUCCUCGGCACGGAAUGCCGAGCAUUGCGCAUAGUCGAUACGAUACACGACAAUUCGAUACCUAGAACUCGAUCUUCCUUCGUCGUUCCUCCUCGUCUCGACACCGUCUAUCGAUAACCAAUUUCCGGUGAACGUAAUCGAUUGUCCUCGCCAGUAUGUCUUUUCUUCCAAGUAUUUUCAAUUUUACUAAGGAUUCGCAAUACGGGUGGUCGUUUCGGUACGGUAAUGGAUGCAACGAUAAGAUUUGAUGAAUUCGACGCGACGCGACGCGACGCGACGCGACGCGACGCAUCGAAGUCUCUGGAGGGACUCGAAAGAGAAAGAGAGUCGAACGAUCGGACAGUUUGGUGCGGUGGUGGUCGAAAUACGAAAAUUCCGAAAUUCCGGACGCGCCAAAGUGUUAUCUAACUGAACGACGCGGCGCGGCGCGGCGUCUGUUGGCGUCGAGCGUUCCACCGGUGCCGCCGCUUUUCGCAUUAGUCAUCGGGUACGAAAGGCGAAAGGCGGUUCUCCUCGUCGUAGUCCAGUUGUAGGCGAGUAAGCGAGCAACAGCAGCAGCAGGUAGAGAACGGUACAGCCUGCAGAGAUAAUCUGGUGACUCUAAUUGCCUUAAAAAACGCGAUACCGACCAACGACGACGUUAUGGUACCGUGCUGCGAGAGUUACUCAUUUACCCGUAAAUCUCUUCUCCGCGAUCCCUCCGCGAGCCCAGUUGCUUGACUUUCGCGAAUCGAUUUCCUCCCACUCGCGUUAAAUUCGGCCGUCGCGUUACGGUAGGUCGUUAACCGACCAGUGUACAUACCUAAUAUUUACGCUCGUUCCUAUAUCUUGAAGCGUAAAUUCGUCGAACUUUAUCGACACCCCUAGAUCGGAUCGGGAAUCGGUUCGAUCGAUCGAUCCAGAGGAUUCGAUUAGACGUCGUAGCUGGGUUGGGUGCUACUCGAAAAAAAAAAAAAAAAAAAAA